rnacentral:rRNA from 1 species
AGUGAACGCUGGCGGUAGGCCUAACACAUGCAAGUCGAACGGCAGCACAGUAAGAGCUUGCUCUUACGGGUGGCGAGUGGCGGACGGGCGAGGAAUACAUCGGAAUCUACUUUUUCGUGGGGGAUAACGUAGGGAAACUUACGCUAAUACCGCAUACGACCUACGGGUGAAAGCAGGGGAUCUUCGGACCUUGCGCGAUUGAAUGAGCCGAUGUCGGAUUAGCUAGUUGGCGGGGUAAAGGCCCACCAAGGCGACGAUCCGUAGCUGGUCUGAGAGGAUGAUCAGCCACACUGGAACUGAGACACGGUCCAGACUCCUACGGGAGGCAGCAGUGGGGAAUAUUGGACAAUGGGCGCAAGCCUGAUCCAGCCAUACCGCGUGGGUGAAGAAGGCCUUCGGGUUGUAAAGCCCUUUUGUUGGGAAAGAAAAGCAGCAGGUUAAUACCCCGAUGUUCUGACGGUACCCAAAGAAUAAGCACCGGCUAACUUCGUG